UACGGAGGGUGCGAACGUUAAUCGGAAUCACUGGGCGUAAAGCGCGCGUAGGCGGUUUGUUAAGUGGGAUGUGAAAUCCCCGGGCUUAACCUGGGAAUUGCAUUUCAAACUGGCUGACUAGAGUACGGUAGAGGGAGGUAGAAUUUCCUGUGUAGCGGUGAAAUGCGUAGAUAUAGGAAGGAAUACCAGUGGCGAAGGCGGCCUCCUGGAUCGAUACUGACGCUGAGGCGCGAAAGCGUGGGGAGCAAACAGG
rnacentral:rRNA from 1 species